GACGAACGCUGGCGGCGUGCCUAAUACAUGCAAGUAGGACGCAGUUGCGAACGGGUGAGUAACGCGUAGGUAACUACCUAUUAGAGGGGGAUAACUAUUGGAAACGAUAGCGAAUACCGCAUACUAGUAGAUGGACCUGCGUUGUAUUAGCUAGUAGGUAGGGUAAUGGCCUACCUAGGCAAAGAUGCGUAGCCGAUCUGAGAGGGGGGUUGGACACACUGGGACUUGGACACGGCCCCGAACCCUUCGGGAGGGAGCCGUAGGGAAACUUCGGAAAUGGGGGGAACCCUGACUCAGACACGCCGCGUGAGGUAAGAAGGUUUUCGGGUCGGAAAGCUCCGUUGUGAAGGAAGCGGUACUUAACCAGAAAGGGACGGCUAACUACGUGCCAGCAGUCGCGGUAAUUC
rnacentral:rRNA from 1 species